rnacentral:lncRNA from 1 species
UACAACAAAAGAAAUUUUAUUUAAAAAUAUUUUUUUACAGACAUGGGUGCUUGAAAAAGCUCUUUAGUUAACUGUAUGGAAAUGAAAAAAAUUAAUAAAUAACAUUAGUAUAACAGACCUCUAAUUAGUCUAACAGACCUCUACACAUCAGUACACUGGCAAAACAACAUGGACUGAAGAGAACGAGUCUUAAAGCUCCACUACUCUGCAGGAGCAUUUACCUCUGCCUGCUUUCUACAGGAGAGUGUAAAUACUGCUAAUAGAAAUUUUCUUAUAUUAAUGACAUUUAAAAAUAGUCCAUGAGAAUCUCACCUAAGUGUGUGUUUUGUUUUCUUAACACUGAUAUACAAAUUGGGACUCUAUUCUGGGGAAAAUAUCAAGUUCUCUCUUGUCCCACCCAAAUCAAGAAUUUAAAAAUCUCGAAUGAGGCAGAUCUUAAAAAGAACUGUUUCCACCCCCACUCUUUGUUAGCCACAGGCAGGGGAGAACCAGGGAGAAGGGAGGGUAAAAACUUGUGGUUGAAACCUACGACAGUAUGACUGACAGGCCUCAGGGUGCCGUGGCCCCUCCCUGGGUGCAAGCUGACCCUGUGAUGGGCACCAGCCACUUAAUGCUUUAUGGUUGAAGCCUUCAACUGAAAGGACAGCCAAGUCUAAGGAGAGGCAGGAGGUUGAAGCUGGCUCAAGAUCCAGCAAAACAAAAAGACAACAAAUGAACCAUCUCCUCUUCCCAGAAGAGCCCACCCUACAGCUCUGCUCUGCAGGGCACUGCUCUCGGAGGUGGGUGAGUGUGGCACCCAGGGCAGUCACCUGAGCACUAACUGCUGCCUGGAACCAACCACGGGAGGCCGGAAUGAAAUGCUGCUCUCUUGCAGUGAAGCCUCGUGGCAGAGAAAGGAGACUCUAGGCACCUAGUGUGCCACCUUUCCAGCCAAUCAUCCUUGUCCCCAAAACUCCAGGGCUAAAGAUAUUCAAGGCAGAGGAGCUCAGACUCUGGUAUUUCCAUAUUAAGUCCUAAGAUGCAGCCUGGGGUACAGCGCUGCCUUAGAAAGGCACAAAACAUUUGGCUUUUUUUUUUUUUCAGUGUGCUAAAAAUUGUUUUGUUUUGAAUAAAGGAAAAAGAUAUAUAAGGUUAAAAAUCCCAAGUCAGCACAGCCAGAAAGCAGAUGUAGGAGGUUCCUCACAGCUGCCAUGCUCAGCAUGUUUCAGCAGAGGUCAGACUUCCCACUGAAGGGUACUAAGGAGGUCAGGAGGUGGCUCCUCUCAUGCACUGCAAGGCAGGCUCAUGAGCCC